rnacentral:rRNA from 1 species
CCUACGGGUGGCUGCAGUGGGGAAUUUUGGACAAUGGGCGCAAGCCUGAUCCAGCCAUUCCGCGUGAGUGAAGAAGGCCUUCGGGUUGUAAAGCUCUUUCGCAAGGGAAGAAAACUUAUCCUCUAACAUAGGAUGAGGUUGACGGUACCUUGAUAAGAAGCACCGGCUAACUACGUGCCAGCAGCCGCGGUAAUACGUAGGGUGCGAGCGGGAAGUGGAAUGACUGGGCGUAAAGCUGGAGCUCAGAUGUGAAAUCCCCGAGCUCAACUUGGGAACUGCGUGUGAAACUACAAGACUAGAAUAGGUCAGAGGGGGGUAGAAUUCCACGUGUAGCAGUGAAAUGCGUAGAGAUGUGGAGGAAUAUCAAUGGCGAAGGCAGCCCCCUGGGAUCAUAUUGACGCUCAUGCACGAAAGCGUGGGGAGCAAACAGGAUUAGAUACCCCAGUAGUC